rnacentral:rRNA from 1 species
GUGAGGAAUAUUGGUCAAUGGGCGGGAGCCUGAACCAGCCAAGUCGCGUGAAGGAAGAAGGAUCUAUGGUUCGUAAACUUCUUUUGCAGGGGAAUAAAGUGCAGGACGUGUCCUGUUUUGUAUGUACCCUGAGAAUAAGGAUCGGCUAACUCCGUGCCAGCAGCCGCGGUAAUACGGAGGAUCCGAGCGUUAUCCGGAUUCAUUGGGUUUAAAGGGUGCGUAGGUGGUUUGAUAAGUCAGCGGUGAAAGUUUGCAGCUUAACUGUAAAAAUGCCGUUGAAACUGUCGGACUUGAGUGUAAAUGAGGUAGGCGGAAUGCGUGGUGUAGCGGUGAAAUGCAUAGAUAUCACGCAGAACUCCGAUUGCGAAGGCAGCUUACUAAGCUACAACUGACACUGAAGCACGAAAGCGUGGGGAUCAAACAGGAUUAGAAACCCCAGUAGUCC